rnacentral:rRNA from 1 species
AGAGUUUGAUCCUGGCUCAGAUUGAACGCUGGCGGCAUGCCUUACACAUGCAAGUCGAACGGCAGCACGGGAGCAAUCCUGGUGGCGAGUGGCGAACGGGUGAGUAAUAUAUCGGAACGUGCCCAGUCGUGGGGGAUAACGUAGCGAAAGCUACGCUAAUACCGCAUACGAUCUAUGGAUGAAAGCGGGGGAUCGCAAGACCUCGCGCGAUUGGAGCGGCCGAUAUCAGAUUAGCUAGUUGGUGGGGUAAAGGCCCACCAAGGCGACGAUCUGUAGCUGGUCUGAGAGGACGACCAGCCACACUGAAACUGAGACACGGUCCAGACUCCUACGGGAGGCAGCAGUGGGGAAUUUUGGACAAUGGGCGCAAGCCUGAUCCAGCAAUGCCGCGUGCAGGACGAAGGCCUUCGGGUUGUAAACUGCUUUUGUACGGAACGAAAAGGUCUGCCCUAAUACGGC